rnacentral:rRNA from 1 species
AGUGAACGCUGGCGGUAGGCCUAACACAUGCAAGUCGAACGGCAGCACAGUAAGAGCUUGCUCUUGCGGGUGGCGAGGGGCGGACGGGUGAGGAAUACAUCGGAAUCUACUUUUUCGUGGGGGAUAACGUAGGGAAACUUACGCUAAUACCGCAUACGACCUACGGGAGAAAGCAGGGGAUCUUCGGACCUUGCGCGACUGAAUGAGCCGAUGUCGGAUUAGCUAGUUGGCGGGGUAAAGGCCCACCAAGGCGACGAUCCGUAGCUGGUCUGAGAGGAUGAUCAGCCACACUGGAACUGAGACACGGUCCAGACUCCUACGGGAGGCAGCAGUGGGGAAUAUUGGACAAUGGGCGCAAGCCUGAUCCAGCCAUACCGCGUGGGUGAAGAAGGCCUUCGGGUUGUAAAGCCCUUUUGUUGGGAAAGAAAAGCAGCAGGUUAAUACCCCGCUGUUCUGACGGUACCCAAAGAAUAAGCACCGGCUAACUUCGUG